UUACGGUCAGAUCAGGUUGAAACACUGGCUCCCGUAUGAUCAUCGAAGUUAAGCAACGUUGAGUUUGGUCAGUAUAUUAGAUGGGUGACCACUUGGGAAUACCGGGUGCUGUAAG